ensembl:snoRNA
ACCGCCACGGCCCCUGGCCAUUUCUCUGUUGGCUGCUGCAAUCCAGUGGUGAGUGGAGAGUAAACCCCAGCUUAGGAAACAGAGCUGCUCUUCAUGUGGAUGGCUCUGUGCUGAAACACGGGGCCAGUC